UACGUAGGCAGCGAGCGUUGUUCGGAUUUACUGGGCGUAAAGAGCGCGCAGGCGGUCGUUCAAGUCGAGUGUGAAAGCCCCCGGCUCAACUGGGGAGGGUCAUUCGAUACUGAUCGACUUGAAGGCAGGAGAGGGAAGCGGAAUUCCCGGUGUAGUGGUGAAAUGCGUAGAUAUCGGGAGGAACACCAGUGGCGAAGGCGGCUUCCUGGCCUGUUCUUGACGCUGAGGCGCGAAAGCUAGGGGAGCAAACGGG
rnacentral:rRNA from 1 species